CUUCCCAUUCCAAAACAUCGUGAAACAUUAUUAAUAUAACCAAAAAUCACACAAAGAAGCAAUGAGGAGACCCUUUGAAACAAUUAAAAUAAGAUUAUAGAAUUAUUGACAGAAGAAAUUUAAUUUAUAUGGCCAUGACGUUUGGGUAUUUGCAUUACUCGUAUAUAAUAUUACCCCCCAAAGUGUGAAAUGCCGAAGACAUCCAAAAACACUGUUAAUUUUUCCAUUUAUCAAUUUAUAUUCCAUGAUUAUUAUGUACAGAUGUAUAGUGG